rnacentral:rRNA from 1 species
ACUNCUUAGAGGGACAAGUGGCGUAUAGCCACGCGAGAUUGAGCAAUAACAGGUCUGUGAUGCCCUUAGAUGNUCGGGGCCGCACGCGCGCUACACUGGCGGAAUCARCGGGUACACUGCCCUUGGCCGGAAGGUCUGGGUAAUCCGCUGAACCUCCUCCGUGAUGGGGAUAGGGAAUUGCAAUUAUUUCCCUUGAACNNGGAAUUCCCAGUAAGCGCGAGUCAUCAGCUCGCGUUGAU